rnacentral:rRNA from 1 species
CGGCACGGGUGAGUAACACGUAUCCAACCUGCCGUCUACUCUUGGCCAGCCUUCUGAAAGGAAGAUUAAUCCAGGAUGGGAUCAUGAGUUCACAUGUCCGCAUGAUUAAAGGUAUUUUCCGGUAGACGAUGGGGAUGCGUUCCAUUAGAUAGUAGGCGGGGCAACGGCCCACCUAGUCAACGAUGGAUAGGGGUUCUGAGAGGAAGGUCCCCCACAUUGGAACUGAGACACGGUCCAA